rnacentral:rRNA from 1 species
UGAAGAGUUUGAUCCUGGCUCAGAUUGAACGCUGGCGGCAUGCCUAACACAUGCAAGUCGGACGGCAGCGCAGCCGUGGUGACACGGUGGGCGGCGAGUGGCGGACGGGUGAGUAAUGCAUCGGAAUCUGCCCUCAAGUGGGGGAUAACCUGGGGAAACUCAGGCUAAUACCGCAUGGUGCCUUGAGGUGGGAGCCUUGAGGUGAAAGCGGGGGACCGUAAGGCCUCGCGCUUGGGGAUGAGCCGAUGUCCGAUUAGCUAGUUGGUGGGGUAAUGGCCUACCAAGGCGACGAUCGGUAGCCGGCCUGAGAGGGUGGUCGGCCACACUGGGACUGAGACACGGCCCAGACUCCUACGGGAGGCAGCAGUGGGGAAUUUUGGACAAUGGGCGAAAGCCUGAUCCAGCAAUGCCGCGUGUGUGAAGAAGGCCUUCGGGUUGUAAAGCACUUUUCCUGGGGAAGAAAUCGCUAGGGUGAACAAUCUUAGCGGAUGACGGUACCUGGGGAAUAAGCACCGGCUAACUCCGUGCCAGCAGCCGCGGUAAUACGGAGGGUGCGAGCGUUAAUCGGAAUUACUGGGCGUAAAGGGUGCGUAGGUGGCCUGCUGAGUCCGAUGUGAAAGCCCUGGGCUUAACCUGGGAAUGGCAUUGGAUACUGGUGGGCUGGAGUGUGGCAGAGGGUCGUGGAAUUCCCGGUGUAGCGGUGAAAUGCGUAGAGAUCGGGAGGAACACCCGUGGCGAAGGCGGCGACCUGGGCCAACACUGACGCUGAGGCACGAAAGCGUGGGGAGCAAACAGGAUUAGAUACCCUGGUAGUCCACGCCCUAAACGAUGCCGACUGGAUGUUGGGUGCGUUUGACGCGCUCAGUAUCGAAGCUAACGCGUGAAGUCGGCCGCCUGGGGAGUACGGUCGCAAGACUGAAACUCAAAGGAAUUGACGGGGGCCCGCACAAGCGGUGGAGUAUGUGGUUUAAUUCGAUGCAACGCGAAGAACCUUACCUGGCCUUGACAUGCCCGGAACCCUGCAGAGAUGUGGGGGUGCCCGCGAGGGAGCCGGGACACAGGUGCUGCAUGGCUGUCGUCAGCUCGUGUCGUGAGAUGUUGGGUUAAGUCCCGCAACGAGCGCAACCCUUGCUCCUAGUUGCCAGCGGUUUGGCCGGGAACUCUAGGAGGACUGCCGUCGACAAGACGGAGGAAGGUGGGGACGACGUCAAGUCAUCAUGGCCCUUACGGCCAGGGCUACACACGUACUACAAUGGCCGGUACAGAGGGUUGCGAAGCCGUGAGGUGGAGCCAAUCCCAGAAAGCCGGUCUCAGUCCGGAUUGCAGUCUGCAACUCGACUGCAUGAAGUCGGAAUCGCUAGUAAUCGCAGAUCAGCAUUGCUGCGGUGAAUACGUUCCCGGGCCUUGUACACACCGCCCGUCACACCAUGGGAGUCGGCUGCACCAGAAGCAGGUGGCCUAACCGCGAGGGGGGCGCUUUCCACGGUGUGGUCGAUGACUGGGGUGAAGUCGUAACAAGGUAGCCGUACCGGAAGGUGCGGCUGGAUCACCUCCUUU